rnacentral:rRNA from 1 species
GACGAACGCUGGCGGCGUGCCUAAUACAUGCAAGUCGAACGCAGUGGGGACGGGUGAGUAACACGUGGGUAACCUCCCAUCAGAGGGGAUAACACUUUGAAACAGGUGCUAAACCGAUACUGAUGGAUGGCCCCGCGGUUCAUUAGCUAGUUGGUGAGGUAACGGCUCACCAAGGCCACGAUGCAUAGCAGACAGGAGAGGGUGAUGGGAAACACGGGGAAUGAGACACGGCCCAGACGCCGACGGAAGGAAGCAGUAGGGAAUCGUCGGAAAUGGACGAAAGUCUGAACGAGCAACGCCGCUGGAGUGAAGAAAGUGUUCGGAUCGUAAAACUCUGUUGGUAGAGAAGCGGUAUCUAACCAGAAAGCCACGGCUAACUACGUGCCAGCAGCCGCGGUAAUUC